rfam:Dacryopinax sp. DJM-731 SS1 chromosome Tnknown DACRYscaffold_8, whole genome shotgun sequence.
GGCCAGAUAGUGCAGUGGUAGUGCACCUGAGUAAGAAUCAGGAUGCACUGGGUUCAAUUCCCAGUCUAGCCA